UUGUGUUUAAAACUUAAAACGGGAACGGGGCGGUGAGAACUACCCGUGAAAUAUGUUCAUUAAAGUGCAGAUUUUAGUCUGCACAUUACAUGUUUUAUUAAAUCUGAAUAAUGUCUUUGAAAUGGACAUUUAUGCUUUUUAACUACUAAUUAUUGGUUCUAAAAUAAUGAAUUACAACGGAUCAUGGUAGGGGUGUAGCUAAGAAAACUCGUUGGCGGGAGAAGGGUGCUAACCACUCUGGGUGUCAAAUGCGCUGGGAGGGCCCCGCCCCCCGCCCCCCGCCCCAUCCUUCCAUAGGCACUCCCAGGUUUCCGCUAGUCAUCUGGGUGGUCUGACCAGUCUGCCCCUCAGCCUGAGUAGCAGUAGAAAAUGCCCCCCUGGUAGCCGAUGGGACGUGGGGAAAUUACUGAGCUACGGGCAUUUUAACUGCAAUCUUCCAGGGGCAAUGUUCUUUUGUUACUUAUUUAACCGAUUUAAGUGAUGACCCUACAGGUGGUCAGCAAUGGUGCCCCUACAGGGACCUGUUAACAAGAACGAUGCCAGCACAAGUGUGACGCCUGAGGAUGCCUCACCCAGGCUUGUCAAGUAACUCUCAUGGCGAGCGGGGCUGAGCUCCUGGGUGCAAGGACACCUGCACUGUCCUGGAGGCCUAAGGAGAACUCGCUGUGGACACACUGGAGGGCCAAGCAGUAGCCGUGCAGAAGCGUGUGUGGGAGUCGCCUCCCCACUGCUCUCCUGUCCUCCGGUCCCUGAGCUGGGAAUCCACACGCACCGACUGCAGGUCCCAGCGGAACUUACCAGCCGUGCGAAUUUGCUCCGCCUCUUCCUUUCCGCCGCCGAGAUCUGACGAGCUCUCGCGAGACCCAGGCCUCUUCUCAAGCCGGCGCUCACCCAAGUAAGUGUGGGGCCUCCCGUGCGCGCGAGCUUUUCUGUCGAUUUCGAGGGGGACACGCUUUGGAGGCAGCUCUGGAGCGGCGGGCCCUGCUCGCCGGGUGGGGAUACGGCGG